ACAAAAAAUGACCUAACCCUAGAACCCCUAAUCUCUAAGAAUGGACAACAGCUUCAACAUACACACACAUAAACGUAGAAAGGAAGGGAACACUCAUCAUUCUCUGGCUCUAAGAAGCAGCCGCGCCCCUCAUCUCUUUGUGAAAAUGCCGGAAUCCGGCGAGUCAUCAGCCAUCGGCGAUGCUGCUCUAACACCUAGUGUCCCACCUUCUCUCCAAUCCACCUCUGCCAUAUCUUAACCUAAACUCGCCGGAAUUCCUCAACACCAGCGUUACACCACCAUCGUAACACCAUUAUCCUUCAAAAACAUUCACAAUAUUUGAUCAAGCAGUCACUCUUCUUAAUCACCAACCAAUUUUUCAUACCCUCAUCACCACUAAAAACUUCGAUAAAAAUAGAGUUUCGUCGCAUGGAGUUUGGUUGAAGUUUCUGUCGGACUUUUGAGGUCGUAUUCGGAUUUGUUUUCGAUUAGUGUUGGUAAUUUGAGAGUUUGAAGGCGAUAUUGUUGUUGAAGCUCUCCAGUUCGCGGUUUAAGAUCUGAUCCCUGUUUUCGUUCCUGGCAAGAUUUUAAAUGGAGUUUGUUGUUGCAUUUUAAUACCUUCAAAGUUGAUGUACCAGAAUCGGCGCUGUUCUUAUUAAGAGUGAAGACAACAUUCUGCUUGAGUUGUGCUAUGAUGUUGGGGUGCUAAAGGACCCGCAUGAUUCUGAGAAGGACCCUGGCACGACAAUUUAUUCAUUGCUCAGAAAAGGGCCAACUAGCGGGAAGAAGAAGAGGAGAAUUGAUGUGUUAUCCCCUUCAUUUGGGUAGUUUACUGAGACUGUCGAUGGGUCCAGUGGUUCUUCCACAGUAUCAGCAGGACUACAUAUCCCCAUUUAUCCACUACCUUAUGGACCUCCCACUAUGUGCCACCUUUCUAGUCAAAUCUAUGGUGUCGAUGCUCACAUUCGUCAACUUGUAGCUGGCCUUCCUUCUGGUCAAUCUGGGGAGAGCACUUCUACUGGGACUGGUAAGAAGCCAUAUUUUGAUGAUGUAGUUCAGGAAUAAAAAACAAUCAAAAACAGGUUGGAAGACAUGAGCCGAAGACAAGGAAAGAUGGAGAGGCGACAGUCGAAGUUCAAGGAGCAUGAGAAAAAGAAAAGCAAAUUUCUGUCCAAAAUGAUACACAAGCUGAGUUCAAUCUUUGGCUCACAUGAAUUAGAGGAUGAUGAUGAUGAGGAUUUGGAACUCAAAUUUCCCACCACCUCCAGCUCUGAGUGAUGCAGUUUCAGGGAGCACCUCCUUCAUUUUAUCUUGUUUUGUUUAGUUGCAUUGAGGAUAAUGCAACACUUUAGGUUGGGGGUGACUCAUUUACAUGUGAUGAUGUAGUUGGAGCAUGAUUAUUUUUUGUGAUAACUUGUGUAGAUUGGUUGACGUUGUAGUUUAUUAGUGAUAAUUUGAUGUUUAAUUCUAGCAUGUUAGCAUUAGUUUUUAUUUUUUAUUUUUUCUUAUUUUGCUACUUUAUUUACUUGUAGUAGUAUUAAUUAAAAUUCUUGGUUUUUCUUUA